GACGUAGGGUGCGAGCGUUGUCCGGAUUUAUUGGGCGUAAAGAGCUCGUAGGCGGCUCGUCGCGUCGGCUGUGAAAACCCGUGGCUUAACUGCGGGCUUGCAGCUGAUACGGGCGGGCUAGAGUUCGGUAGGGGAGACUGGAAUUCCUGGUGUAGCGGUGAAAUGCGCAGAUAUCAGGAGGAACACCGGUGGCGAAGGCGGGUCUCUGGGCCGAUACUGACGCUGAGGAGCGAAAGCGUGGGGAGCGAACAGG
rnacentral:rRNA from 1 species